rnacentral:lncRNA from 1 species
GCACAGAGAUGUCCACAGGAUACAUAUGCCUGAGGUGAAGCACCUGUUGAAUGUCAGGACCUGAACAGGAAGUUAGGCUACAGUGGAAAGAACAAGAGCUAUUGGAGCACAGUAAUGGAGCAGGGACUAAGGGACCUGGUGGCCAAGGAAGCAAACAGAAGAGCAACUAGGUACAGAGGCCAUGGGAUGGGGCCACCCACAGUUUGGAAGCAGGACAUGGAGAUGUCCUGGACUGCUCUGUUAGGUUCACUAUGGGAGGUGUGAGUGUGGUAUCUAGACAGACCUGCCAGAACCAGGAGACAGGUUGGGACUAGAGGGCUUUCUGAGCUCUCGGUUCUGAGAAGCCCCUCCCUCAGUGCACUCUGACCACACAGAGAUGUUUCCUCAGGUGUUCCACACGCAGUCCUUGCCACACCAGUCAGAAGACAAGUCUCCUGUCUCCACCACCUUCCCCAUCAGGCAGAGUUCCAGAGCCUGCUGGGCUCCUGAUGAGGCAGCCAGACUGAUGGUGAUGCACAGAGAUGACAGGGGCACGCAACUGGUUGUCACUACCUUUGAGUUAAAGACCAAGAAAUCCAGGGAUAGAGUGAACAUCCUGGUACAACAGCUGGCCAGUUUCCCCUUGCCGGACACCAUGAUGCCUCAGCUCAUGCAGGGCCACGGCUCCCAGGUGAUCCUGCUGGCCUCCGGGUCAGAGCUGGUGGUGUUCACCAUACACGGCCUGCAGCUGGUAGCCUUUCAGGACCAUCAGAGGCCCAUCACAUCCAUGUGGGUGGUAAGUCCAGCACCACCACCCCCACCCGCCCACAGGAUGCUCUACCAUCAGGAGUCCACAUCCAUACCUUACUUGACUUCAUUUCAAGGACCUGAACCGAGUCAUCACCUCUUCGUUGGACCUGUCUUUGCGUGUCUAUCUGUGGAAUAAGGAAAAUAAACGUCCAGUCCUCAAGAGCUGCUAUCAUUUGCUUGAGGGAUCUCACAGAUAGGCCAGGUAAUUAAGAUUGGAUGCUUUAUUCCCUUUGCCUAUGAAAGUGCAAGCAGUGGUAUUUGUUUUCUUUCUUUUGGAACAAGGUCCUGUUAUCUUUCCCCGGCUGGCCUUGAACUUCCAGCCUCAAGUCAUCC